rnacentral:tRNA from 1 species
GGAAGGGUCGCAUAGUUGGUCUAGUGCGUUCGCUUGGAAAGCGAAUAACACCGCAAGGUGUUCGCGGGUUCGAAUCCCGCCCCUUCCGCCG